AUUGAACGCUGGCGGCAGGCUUAACACAUGCAAGUCGAGCGAGCGGCGGACGGGUGAGUAAUGUCUGGGAAACUGCCUGAUGGAGGGGGAUCACUACUGGAAACGGUAGCUAAUACCGCAUACCAUCAGCUGUCCCCAGAUGGGAUUAGCUAGUCGGUGGGGUCAUGGCUCACCUAGGCGACGAUCCCUAGCUGGUCUGAGAGGAUGACCAGCCACACGGGAACUGAGCCACGGUCGAGACUACUACGGGAGGCAGAAGUGGGGAAGAGUGCACAAGGGGCGCAAGCCUGAUGCAGCCAUGCCGCGUGUGUGAAGAAGGCCUUCGGGUUGUAAAGCACUGUCAGCGAGGAGGCGUGACUCGCAGAAGAAGCACCGGCUAACUCCGUGCCAGCAGCCGCGGUAAUUC
rnacentral:rRNA from 1 species